rnacentral:rRNA from 1 species
GACGAACGCUGGCGGCGUGCUUAACACAUGCAAGUCGAACGAAGAGCGAUGGAAGCUUGCUUCUAUCAAUCUUAGUGGCGAACGGGUGAGUAACGCGUAAUCAACCUGCCCUUCAGAGGGGGACAACAGUUGGAAACGACUGCUAAUACCGCAUACGAUCUAACCUCGGCAUCGAGGAAAGAUGAAAGGUGGCCUCUAUGUAUAAGCUAUCACUGAAGGAGGGGAUUGCGUCUGAUUAGCUAGUUGGAGGGGUAACGGCCCACCAAGGCGAUGAUCAGUAGCCGGUCUGAGGAUGAACGGCCACAUUGGGACUGAGACACGGCCCAGACUCCUACGGGAGGCAGCAGUGGGGAAUCUUCCGCAAUAGACGAAAGUCUGACGGAGCAACGCCGCGUGAGUGAUGACGGCCUUCGGGUUGUAAAGCUCUGUUAAUCGGGACGAAAGGCCUUCUUGCGAAUAGUGAGAAGGAUUGACGGUACCGGAAUAGAAAGCCACGGCUAACUACGUG